rnacentral:misc_RNA from 1 species
GAGCGCAAACAACUUCUAAGCUCUGGCCUUCGCACAAAAAAACAUAUCCUCACCAAAGGUAGAGCAUUAAACGCGUUUUUGUCUUCUUCGCUGAGGCGUCGCCUUCCCUGUUGGCCCCCCCCCUUUCCUACCUGUCACCCUCCCACGCGCAACCGUCGCCCACUUUGGCCCUCUCCGACCCGCAUACGCCCACGCGUUUUGGUGCAGCCUCUCUCUGGCAUUGACGCUCGGCGUUUCACUUGGCGAACAUGUCCACCAGCGGCCCAUUGGUGCCCCCGAUCAGCUGGGCACAGCGCCCCGAGUACGUCCUCAUCACGAUCCCGCUCCAGGACACCACGGGUGUUAGUGUGGAGAUCAAGGAUGAGGGGAGGGAGCUAUGCUUUGCCUGCAGCUCGCCCGAGCACAAGCAGUACGCGUGCACGAUCCACUUUUACGGUGUGAUAUCCUCCGAGGAGAGUCAGCACGUGGUGCGGCCGCGUCAGAUCGAGCUGAAGCUUCGGAAGAAGUUCUCCAAGUCACUUGAAGAUGCCAGCGACGACGAAGUGGAGUGGCCGCGGCUGACCAAGGAAAAGGCCAAGUACCCCAACAUCAGCAUCGACUGGUCUAAGUGGAAAGACGAGAACGACGACGAAUGCGCUGCAGAUGACUUGGGGGACUUUGGCCUCAGCGGCGGCGACGCAAUGGACGGGCAGUACUCGGAGAUGCUCAGUCAGCUGAUGCAGGCGCAGGGCCAGAAGGAUGCGGAGGAGUCGGCAGGUCUUCCACCCGGCACCAUUCCUGGAUUUGGCUCGGCACGAGGGCAGGAGGCCACUCAUGGCGCAUGUGCGGUGGCCGGAGAUGACGACGGCGAUAUGCCGCCGCUCGAGGAGGACACGUGAACAGGGGCGGAGCGCCUGCUCAAUCGACCUGUGGCGGCGCUGUGCCGCUGCAUCGACGCCACCCCAUACCAAGUCGUUUCUCGCUGACCCCCCCCCUUCAUGUGCACGUGUAGUGUCGUGGGCAGCAACGCAGCCUGCGCGAGGUGCACAGCUUAUAAGAAAAGAAUGUUUCUGUAAUGCGUCGUCACCCCCUAUUACCACCCGACCCCGCCCAUGCACGCAGAAGAGGCGAAGCGGCGCGCAAAGGAAGGCCUGCAGCUCUCAUAAGCCACCUUGCACCAGGACUCGUUGAGAAAGGGCAAGCCGGGGGACUGUCGACCGCGCCGCCGCCGGCUGGAGCGCGUGGCCCAGUUCUGCGCCCUUCCCCCAGCAUGAACGCCACAGGGAUAAGGAUGCACCGACACACGCACAUAUAUAUGUAUCUGUGUUGAUGCAGUUCGCGUCUUGGGGUUUUCGCCCUUCCACUUUUGUGGUGUACGGAGCCUCAUGGAGCGCGAGUUGACCCCCCCCCUCCCCCUCCUCUCUCAUUGGCCGCUCUGCUGACGCCCUCGUCACUCAAGCACCUGCGUGGGGCUCUGCCGGUGGACCCUCUCGCCUUUGCCGUCCCCUACCCUUGAAUUCCUGCCCUUCUUUUCACUCGCUUACGGCAUAUAUGCAUGUGCAUUCGACUAACGUUUGCACGCUUGACUUCACCCUUCGUUUUUCGGCUUUGACAG